rnacentral:rRNA from 1 species
GGUUAAGUGACUAAGCGUACACGGUGGAUGCCUUGGCAGUCAGAGGCGAUGAAAGACGUAGUAACUUGCGAUAAGCCCAGAUUAGGUAGUAACAACCAUUUGAGUCUGGGAUUUCUGAAUGGGGAAACCCACGUGCAUAAGCACGUAUCCUUACCUGAAUACAUAGGGUAAGGAGGCGAACCGGGGGAACUGAAACAUCUAAGUACCCCGAGGAAAAGAAAUCAACCGAGAUUCCGAAAGUAGCGGCGAGCGAAAUUGGACUAGCCCUUAAGCUUUACACGCGUUAGACGAACGGUCUGGAAAGUCCGACGAUACAGGGUGAUAGUCCCGUAGUUGACGACGUGUGUUCAGUGAAAUCGAGUAGGGCGGGACACGUGAUAUCCUGUCUGAAUAUGGGGGGACCAUCCUCCAAGGCUAAAUACUACUGACUGACCGAUAGUGAACCAGUACCGUGAGGGAAAGGCGAAAAGAACCCCUGUGAGGGGAGUGAAAUAGAACCUGAAACCGUGUACGUACAAGCAGUAGGAGCAGGCUUUGUCCUGUGACUGCGUACCUUUUGUAUAAUGGGUCAGCGACUUAUAUUCAGUGGCAAGGUUAACCAUCUAGGGGAGCCGUAGGGAAACCGAGUCUUAACUGGGCGUUCAGUCUCUGGAUAUAGACCCGAAACCAGGUGAUCUAGCCAUGGGCAGGUUGAAGGUUGAGUAACAUCAACUGGAGGACCGAACCGACUAAUGUUGAAAAAUUAGCGGAUGACUUGUGGCUAGGGGUGAAAGGCCAAUCAAACCUGGAGAUAGCUGGUUCUCCCCGAAAGCUAUUUAGGUAGCGCCUCGGACGAAUACUACUGGGGGUAGAGCACUGUUAAGGCUAGGGGGUCAUCCCGACUUACCAACCCUUUGCAAACUCCGAAUACCAGUAAGUACUAUCCGGGAGACACACGGCGGGUGCUAACGUCCGUCGUGGAGAGGGAAACAACCCAGACCGCCAGCUAAGGUCCCAAAUUACUACUAAGUGGGAAACGAUGUGGGAAGGCUCAGACAGCCAGGAUGUUGGCUUAGAAGCAGCCAUCAUUUAAAGAAAGCGUAAUAGCUCACUGGUCGAGUCGGCCUGCGCGGAAGAUGUAACGGGGCUAAGUAGUAAACCGAAGCUGCGGCAAUGUGCUUUUGCACAUUGGGUAGGGGAGCGUUCUGUAAGCGGUUGAAGGUGUGUGGUAACGCAUGCUGGACGUAUCAGAAGUGCGAAUGCUGACAUGAGUAACGAUAAAGGGGGUGAAAACCUCCUCGCCGGAAGACCAAGGGUUCCUGUCCAACGUUAAUCGGGGCAGGGUAAGUCGACCCCUAAGGCGAGGCCGAAAGGCGUAGUCGAUGGGAAACGGGUUAAUAUUCCCGUACUUCUUACAAUUGCGAUGGGGGGACGGAGAAGGCUAGGUGGGCCUGGCGACGGUUGUCCAGGUUCAAGUGCGUAGGCUUAAGAGUUAGGUAAAUCCGGCUCUUUUUAAGGCUGAGACACGACGUCGAGCCACUACGGUGGUGAAGUCAUUGAUGCCAUGCUUCCAGGAAAAGCCUCUAAGCUUCAGAUUGUAAGGAAUCGUACCCCAAACCGACACAGGUGGUCGGGUAGAGAAUACCAAGGCGCUUGAGAGAACUCGGGUGAAGGAACUAGGCAAAAUGGUACCGUAACUUCGGGAGAAGGUACGCUCUUGAUGGUGAAGUCCCUCGCGGAUGGAGCUGACGAGAGUCGCAGAUACCAGGUGGCUGCAACUGUUUAUUAAAAACACAGCACUGUGCAAAAUCGUAAGAUGACGUAUACGGUGUGACGCCUGCCCGGUGCCGGAAGGUUAAUUGAUGGGGUUAGACUUCGGUCGAAGCUCUUGAUCGAAGCCCCGGUAAACGGCGGCCGUAACUAUAACGGUCCUAAGGUAGCGAAAUUCCUUGUCGGGUAAGUUCCGACCUGCACGAAUGGCGUAAUGAUGGCCACGCUGUCUCCACCCGAGACUCAGUGAAAUUGAAAUCGCUGUGAAGAUGCAGUGUACCCGCGGCUAGACGGAAAGACCCCGUGAACCUUUACUACAGCUUGGCACUGAACAUUGACCCUACAUGUGUAGGAUAGGUGGGAGGCUUUGAAGCACGUACGCCAGUAUGUGUGGAGCCGUCCUUGAAAUACCACCCUUGUAGUGUUGAUGUUCUAACGUCGACCCCUAAUCGGGGUUGCGGACAGUGCCUGGUGGGUAGUUUGACUGGGGCGGUCUCCUCCCAAAGAGUAACGGAGGAGCACGAAGGUGGGCUAAUCACGGUUGGACAUCGUGAGGUUAGUGCAAUGGCAUAAGCCCGCUUGACUGCGAGAAUGACAAUUCGAGCAGGUGCGAAAGCAGGUCAUAGUGAUCCGGUGGUUCUGAAUGGAAGGGCCAUCGCUCAACGGAUAAAAGGUACUCCGGGGAUAACAGGCUGAUACCGCCCAAGAGUUCAUAUCGACGGCGGUGUUUGGCACCUCGAUGUCGGCUCAUCACAUCCUGGGGCUGAAGUCGGUCCCAAGGGUAUGGCUGUUCGCCAUUUAAAGUGGUACGCGAGCUGGGUUUAGAACGUCGUGAGACAGUUCGGUCCCUAUCUGCCGUGGGCGUUGGAAGAUUGAAGGGGGCUGCUCCUAGUACGAGAGGACCGGAGUGGACGAACCUCUGGUGUUCGGGUUGUGUCGCCAGACGCAUUGCCCGGUAGCUAAGUUCGGAAUCGAUAACCGCUGAAAGCAUCUAAGCGGGAAGCGAGCCCUGAGAUGAGUCUUCCCUGAUACUUUAAGUAUCCUAAAGGGUUGUCGGAGACUACGACGUUGAUAGGUCAGGUGUGUAAGUGCUGUGAGGCAUUGAGCUAACUGAUACUAAUUGCCCGUGAGGCUUAACCAU